CAGCCGCCGCGGUAAUAGGUAGGGGGCGAGAGUUGUCCGGAAUUAUUGGGCGUAAAGCGCGCGCAGGCGGUCCCUUAAGUCUGAUGUGAAAGCCCACGGCUCAACCGUGGAGGGUCAUUGGAAACUGGGGGACUUGAGUGCAGAAGAGGAGAGCGGAAUUCCACGUGUAGCGGUGAAAUGCGUAGAGAUGUGGAGGAACACCAGUGGCGAAGGCGGCUCUCUGGUCUGUACCUGACGCUGAGGCGCGAAAGCUUGGGGAGCAAACAGGAUUAGAUACCCUGGUAUUCAACGCCGUAAACGAUGAGUGCUAAGUGUUAGAGGGGUUAAACCCUUUAGUGCUGGAGCUAACUCGUUAAGCACUCCGCCUGGGGAGUACGGCCGCAAGGCUGAAACUUAAAGGAAUUGGCGGG
rnacentral:rRNA from 1 species